GGCCACAGUCGUCUCCAAAUGUCUUGUUAUACUGUUUGGAGCGUUGUGCCUGGCUUUGUCCUACGUAGUUUCAUUUGGGGGAAACAUUCUCCAGAUGUGCUAUUCAGUCAUGAGUAUCAUAGACGGUCCACUGUUUGGCCUCUUUGUCCUUGGGAUGUUCUGCCC